AUUCUUUUGUGGCUCAUAGGCAUAUUGGUUUUUCACACUAAUGUGUGAGAUGUGCCUCCUUCAAGCCUUAUUAUAGCAUUGGCACAUUACCCACUGAAU
ensembl:snoRNA